rnacentral:rRNA from 1 species
UCCAGACUCCUACGGGAGGCAGCAGUGGGGAAUAUUGCACAAUGGGGGGAACCCUGAUGCAGCGACGCCGCGUGGGCGAGGAAGUAUUUCGGUAUGUAAAGCCCUAUCGGCAGGGAAGAAGAAAUGACGGUACCUGAAUAAGAAGCACCGGCUAAAUACGUGCCAGCAGCCGCGGUAAUACGUAUGGUGCAAGCGUUAUCCGGAUUUACUGGGUGUAAAGGGAGCGUAGACAGCAUGGCAAGUCAGAUGUGAAAGCCCGGGGCUCAACCCCGGGACUGCAUUUGAAACUGUCAGGCUGGAGUGCAGGAGAGGUAAGUGGAAUUCCUAGUGUAGCGGUGAAAUGCGUAGAUAUUAGGAGGAACACCAGUGGCGAAGGCGGCUUACUGGACUGUAACUGACGUUGAGGCUCGAAAGCGUGGGGAGCAAACAGGAUUAGAUACCCGUGUAA